AACCAACCGGGAUUGCCUUAGUAACGGCGAGUGAAGCGGCAAAAGCUCAAAUUUGAAAUCUGGUACCUUCGGUGCCCGAGUUGUAAUUUGGAGAGGGCAACUUUGGGGCCGUUCCUUGUCUAUGUUCCUUGGAACAGGACGUCAUAGAGGGUGAGAAUCCCGUGUGGCGAGGAGUGCGGUUCUUUGUAAAGUGCCUUCGAAGAGUCGAGUUGUUUGGGAAUGCAGCUCUAAGUGGGUGGUAAAUUCCAUCUAAAGCUAAAUAUUGGCGAGAGACCGAUAGCGAACAAGUACAGUGAUGGAAAGAUGAAAAGAACUUUGAAAAGAGAGUGAAAAAGUACGUGAAAUUGUUGAAAGGGAAGGGCAUUUGAUCAGACAUGGUGUUUUGUGCCCUCUGCUCCUUGUGGGUAGGGGAAUCUCGCAUUUCACUGGGCCAGCAUCAGUUUUGGUGGCAGGAUAAAUCCAUAGGAAUGUAGCUUGCCUCGGUAAGUAUUAUAGCCUGUGGGAAUACUGCCAGCUGGGACUGAGGACUGCGACGUAAGUCAAGGAUGCUGGCAUAAUGGUUAUAUGCCGCCCGUCUUGAAACACGGACC
rnacentral:rRNA from 1 species